AGCUUGGGUGAAGAUGUGGGUUAUCAAAUGCUUUCUAAAAAUUGUCAGAGAUGGGGAGGAUCAUAUCUCAGUUGGGAGCGCAUUCCACAGUCCCGGGGCAGCAACUGAGAAAACCCGUCCCCAUGUGGCCACCAGCCGAGCUGGUGGCAACUGGAGAUGGACCUCUCCAGACGACCUCAAUGGGCGGUGGGGAUCAUAAUGAAGAAGACGUUCUCUUAGAUACCCAGGGCCUAAGCCAUUUAGGGCUUUAUAAGUUAUGACAAGAACUUUGUAUUUUUCCCAGAAACCUAUGAGAUGACCCAGAGACCAACCUGGCUGCUGCGUUCUGUACCAACUGAAGCUUCCGGACUACGUACAAAGGCAGCCUCAUGGAGAGCGCAUUGCAGAAGUCAAGUCUGGAGGUUACCAACAAAUGUACCACUAUUUUCAGGUCGUUCAUCUCAAGAAACAGACGCAGCUGGCGUAUCAGCCGAAGCUGAUAGAAAGCACCCCUGACCACCGCCUCAAUCUGAAAAAACAGGGAGAGGUGUGCAUCCAGAAGUACUCCCAGACUGCGAACCUGUUCCUUUUGGGGAAGUGUGACCCAUCUAGAACAGGGAGAUCAAAAUCGUCUCUAGAGUUCUGACCCCACACAAUAAGUACCUCAGUCUUAUCUGGAUUCAGUUUCAGUUUAUUCUCCCUCAUCCAGCCCAUUACUGCUUCCAGGCAAGCAUUUAGGGAAGUUAUGCCAUCUCCUGAAGAAGUUGACAUGGAGAGCUGCAGGAGGGCAGUAGAGCAGAAUACCGUUUUUACAAGUGCUCUGCUUCCUGGUCCAGUUCAAGAGAGGCUCGGGGUAGACGCACAUGAGGUGCCUAGCAGCCACAGUAGAGAAAAGACUAGUCACAAAACUUUCCUCUGUGCUUUAGAAGGCUUCCCCUUUGAAGUAGCAACAACAAUAAUACUGUAAUAGAGGCAAAGUCUGCUCUUCAUACCCUGAACAUAUUUUCUUCUGAAGAAACACGUCAAAAUUGCAGUGCUAAAGAAGGACUGGCUAACUUGGACUGCUUCUCUUCUCGGCUUUGCGUUGAACUUUUCUCGGGCAGCCAUAAAUAUGGAGAUACCAAAGAGUUAAUUUGUGUUUUUAAACCUCCUUCCCAAUAUCCUCUCUCAUUCCUGCAUGAAACCCCCAUGUCCAGACAUCAAAUCAGUAAACCCUGUUGCCUGUCAGAGAAUACAAUGUCAGGCCAUUAGUAUGUUAAUAAGUCCGGAGGGUGACAGGUGGCCUACUAGACAGCUCAAUUAAGCUGCUCAUUAAACACACGCUAACGAACAGCCAAGGCAGGGCCUGAACAGCACCAUUCUGUAAUGACAUGAUGUCAGAGUGAACAAAUGAGGAAAAAUAACAAAAACAUUACAGCAGUGACAGACGCCACUAAUAAGGCCUCCUUGCACUACAUCAGCCCUCAAAUCAAUGAGCAACAGGGAUCAAAAACCUCGACCCAAUAUUCUCAGGGGACUAAAUGCAGCAAGAUUUUGGAUCACAUUUUUUAAAAAAUAGAAAACUAGAAAUUAUUACAGAAUGCCACAAACUAACAGUUGGAGAGGGGGGAGAAACACAAAGAAGAGAGUUCCUCCCUCUUAGGACAGUCACCAAAUAGGAAAAAAAGUAUCCUUGUAGGGCUGAAAAAUAAUUAUUUAAUGGGAUCAUCACUGAAAUUUGGAUUGCAUUACAUCUUUUGUACCCUUGAACCUACAGGUGUGAGUCAUGUACCGUACCUGCUCAACCUACUCACUUGGCAGAGGUCACACCAGCAUUUAAAGAGCAAGUAGCUAACUUCUCAAGUAUAGAUUGCUACUUAUUAUUUUUUUAAAGGGUGGGGGACUUCUAGCAGCUGGUAAAGAACUCAUUUUCAAGCAAGAGGCUUCCUAUGUAAUAAAUUCAAGCACCAAGUAGUACUGAUUCCAACAUCGCUAAACUAAUAGGCUGCUUGACCAUUAUAAGAUCAUGAUCUUAGCUCUUCUACUAUAUGCAGAGCUGUAUUAAGUUAGCAAUUGUUACCCCAGUAUGUCUCCAGAAAAAUCUAGCUCAGGAUUUACACUAAUAACUGCAAUAUAUAAGUCCUUAUCACGCAUCCUGGAACUGGACAUAGUAUACCCAGCUACCGGACAAACAGGAGUGCACCUGCUAGUCACGCCCACUGGUGCUGAUGUGGUCUGUGACUACAAUCUCUGUAUCUUCCAGUACAACAUUUGCCAGUCAAGCGUAGUGCUGAACCUAGAGAUACUUUGGCCCUGUAAUCUGGAAUUCUGAUUUGCCAGCAUUCCAAAUCACAGAUUCAGCAGUGCCCUUACCAGACAGACGCUGUACCUGGGGGGGGACACAGAGGAGCAUGGCCACAGAGUGGAUCAGCAUUAAAAAUAAAUAAUUUUUUUUAUAAAAAUUGGCGGGGGGGAACGGCCACCACGCAUGUACAAAUGACCUCUGCAAGGCCCUGGGUCAUGCCAGGGCUCACAGGGGCCAUUUACACAUGCACAGCAGUGGCCAAAAUGGCCACCAUGCAGACGUACAUAGGCCUGAAUGGGCCAAAUACAAGCAUUUUCCCAGGCCGUGACAGUGAAUUAGGAGGCUGGCAGGGGAGGGGGAACCUUCACAGACAGACACACACCCACGGUCUACAAGAAGUCCCCCAAAGGGGCUAGAGGUAUUUUUAAUUUGUUUUUGUUUUUUUAAAAUGUUU